rnacentral:rRNA from 1 species
GAGUUUGAUCCUGGCUCAGAAUAAACGCUGGCGGCGUGCUUAACACAUGCAAGUCGAACGUGAAAGUUUCUUCGGAAACGAGUAAAGUGGCGAACGGGUGAGUAACGCGUGAGAAUCUACCCUAUAGUGAAGGAUACUACUGAGAAAUUGGUAUUAAUACUGCAUAUCUUCGCAAGAAGAAAGGUGGCCUAAAAGCUGCCGCUAAAGGAUGAGCUUGCGUGCUAUUAGCUAGUUGGUGGGGUAAUGGCCUACCAAGGCGAUGAUGGCUAGCCGGCCUGAGAGGGUGUACGGCCACAUUGGAACUGAGAAACGGUCCAGACUCCUACGGGAGGCAGCAGUGAGGAAUAUUGCACAAUGGGCGAAAGCCUGAUGCAGCGACGCCGCGUGAAGGAUGAAGGUCUUCGGAUUGUAAACUUCUGUUAAAUGGGAAAAAAGAGACUUUCUGAAUAGGAAAGUAAGAUGAUGGUACCAUUAGAGAAAGCACCGGCUAACUUCGUGCCAGCAGCCGCGGUAAUACGAGGGGUGCAAGCGUUAUUCGGAUUUAUUGGGCGUAAAGGGUUUGUAGGCGGUUCGUUAAGUCAUCUAUUAAAUCUCCUAGCUUAACUAGGAAAAUGUGGGUGAAACUGGCGGACUAGAGGAUGGAAGAGAGAAGUGGAAUUCUCGGAGUAGCGGUAAAAUGCGUAGAUCUCGAGAGGAACCCCGAUGGCGAAGGCAGCUUCUUGGUCCAUAUCUGACGCUGAAAAAACGAAAGCGUGGGGAGCAAACAGGAUUAGAUACCCUGGUAGUCCACGCCGUAAACGAUGAUCACUAGAUGUUACUUCUGCUUGCAGGGGUAGUAUCGUAGGCUAACGCGUUAAGUGAUCCGCCUGGGGAGUACGGUCGCAAGACUAAAACUUAAAGGAAUUGACGGGGGUCCGCACAAGCGGUGGAACAUGUGGUUUAAUUCGAUACUACGCGAGAAACCUUACCUAGGCUAGACAUGCUUUUGACGAUUACAGAAAUGUAGUCUUCUAAGUUUACUUAGACAAUUGCACAGGUGCUGCAUGGCUGUCGUCAGCUCGUGUCGUGAGAUGUUUGGUUAAGUCCUCUAACGAGCGCAACUCCUGUUGCUAGUUGCAACCCUUCGGGGGCACUCUAGUGAGACUGCCUGGGAAACCAGGAGGAAGGUGGGAAUGACGUCAAGUCAUCAUGGUCCUUAUGCCUAGGGCUACACACGUGUUACAAUGGCUAAUACAGAGGGGCGCAAGCUUGUAAAAGUGAGCAAAUCCCACAAAAUUAGUCUAAGUUCGGAUUGAGGUCUGCAACUCGACCUCAUGAAGUUGAAAUCGCUAGUAAUCGCGCAUCAGAACGGCGCGGUGAAUUCGUUCUCGGACCUUGUACACACCGCCCGUCACACCACGAGAGUUUUUUGUACCCAAAGUUAUUUUAGCUAACCUUUUCGGAGGGGGCGGAUAAUUACGGUAUGGGAGAUGAUUGGGGUGAAGUCGUAACAAGGUAGCCG